rnacentral:tRNA from 1 species
ACCUGUGUGGCUCAGUCGGUUGAGCGUGGGUCUCUGGCUCAGGUCAUGAUCUCACAGUUUGUGGGUUCGAGUCCCACAUCAGGCU